GGGAAUCUUCCGCAAUGGGCGCAAGCCUGACGGAGCAACGCCGCGUGAAUGAAGAAGGUCUUCGGAUCGUAAAGUUCUGUUCUUAGGGAAGAAGUCUUAGGUUGUGAAUAAUGACUUAAGGUGACGGUACCUAUGGAGAAAGCUCCGGCUAACUACGUGCCAGCAGCCGCGGUAAUACGUAGGGAGCGAGCGUUGUCCGGAAUUACUGGGCGUAAAGGGCGCGUAGGCGGGAACUUAAGUUAGAUGUGAAAACUCCGGGCUCAACCUGGAGACUGCAUUUAAAACUGGGUUUCUUGAGGGCAGGAGAGGAAAGUGGAAUUCCUAGUGUAGCGGUGAAAUGCGUAGAUAUUAGGAGGAACACCAGUGGCGAAGGCGACUUUCUGGACUGUACCUGACGCUGAGGCGCGAAAGCAUGGGGAGCGAACAGGA
rnacentral:rRNA from 1 species